GGAUUAGAUACCCUGGUAGUCCACGCAGUAAACGAUGAGUGCUAGGUAUUUGGGUUUUUAUGAUCUGAGUAUCGUAGUUAACGCGUUAAGCACUCCGCCUGGGAAGUACGAUCGCAAGGUUGAAACUCAAAGGAAUUGACGGGGACCCGCACAAGCGGUGGAACAUGUGGUUUAAUUCGAUGCUACGCGAAAAACCUUACCAGGCUUUGACAUGGUAGUCAUACGGCUAAGAGAUUAGCUGGUCAGUUCGGCUGGACUAUCACAGAUGUUGCAUGGCUGUCGUCAGCUCGUGUUG
rnacentral:rRNA from 1 species